ACCUGGGUGGCUCAGUUGGUUAAGCCUCUGACUUCGGCUCAGGUCAUGAUCUGGUGGUUCGCGGGUUCGAGCCCCGCAUCGGGCU
rnacentral:tRNA from 1 species